AGGGAGAUCGGGCCGUGUGAGCUUUCCUCAGGAGUGAGCAAAAACAGGAACGUGCCUGCAGAGGGAGGAGUUCCCAAAGAGGAAACGGCGCAGGAACAGCAAAUGCAGAGAGGAUGCACACUCUGAAGAGGGCAGGCAGCUUCUGCACCGAGGGAGCAAAGGGGCGUGUCAGGGGCAGCUGCUGGAAGGAGGCGCAAGCACCACGGAGAGUCUGGGAUGCCCAGCCAAGGAGCCCUGGAAGGGUUGCCCUGGGGACUGACACUGUGGGCUCUGUGUUUUAGCCAAGUCACCCAGGCAGCUGAACAGAAGAUGGACUGGAGGGAGAAGCCUGGAUGUAGGAUCGCUCAGCAACAAAGGAGCCAGAAAAGGCAAGGUGUACACACCGUGUGCAGCAUGGGCGAGCUGCAGGCAUGCAGAACUUCUGAGUCCUAACCAUGGCUGGUGGCUCUUCCAGGAACAUGGUUUCCUGGACCCAAAAGUCUGUUUGGAGAGGCUGGGAGCAGAGUGGUUAAAAGAGCCAGGCCUGGUUCCAUUUCUGACCCCUCUUCUAGCUGAGCAACUUCCGCCUCUUCCAGCCUCCCUCACGGGAAUCACAGAUCACGUGAGAUGACACCCAUGAAGGGCUUGACUGGCAUCUGGCACAUGGUGAGGACUGCAAAAAUGUGGGCUAUUGUUUUUACUAUUAUCCCCAUUUUAUAGAUGAGGAAACUGAGGCUUGGAGAGGCUCUCUGCCUUUGUCAACCUGGAGAUGCUGGGAAGGAAGUGAGGCCCAUCCCACCUCAGAUGCCUGUCCUCUGUCGUCAGGAGCAUUCUCUUGUUCUUCCGGGCUUGGCCAAGCGGUGGUAAACCCCACAUGUGGUUCUGUGGUUGCCCACACAGUCCUAAAAAUAGCCAACAGGAACCCAGGGGCUCCCCCUUGGUGAGUGGCAGCAGGCCCAGUCCUCAGGCAGCCACCAACCUGCUCACUCCCCACAGGCAAGCAGGUCCUGUCUAGGAAGGGGCUGGGUGGCCUGGGUCCCAUGCAUGAUGAGCCAGAGGCUGUGCCAAGCUUAUAGCAAAUAUUAUUUUAUUUCAUUAUGUUUUCUUACAUCUGUGAUGUGGAGGCCAUAGCUCCACUGGACUCAUGAGGAGACUGAGGCUCAGAGCAAUGAAGUGACCUGCUCAAAGUUAAGGAGCUUCAGUUUGGACCCAAUUUGUUCUGAUCCUAAGGUCACUAUCCUUAAUCCCUCUCCCUGUGGGGUCUUCCCUAUCUUGAGCCUGUGGACAGCUGUGCAGUGGCAAGAAAAAGGCCUUCAGAGCUACGCAGACCUGGCUUCAAAUCCCAGCCUCCCUGAUGAGCCCUGGUGGUCUUGCAUGCUUGCCCUUGGGACUCAGACACCAUAUUGUGAGGAAGCCCAAGCUACAUGCAGAGGCCACUAUAGUUGUUCUGGCCAACAGCCCAAGCUUCAGCUGCCAGACAUAUAAAUAAACCAACUCUUCAAAUGAUUUCAGUUUCCAGACUUCAGUGCAUCCCAGGAAUGCCUUCUUCAUCUGUUGAAAUCCAGCCCAUCUAUGAAGAGUCAAAGGCCGCCUUGGCCGUGAAGGCCUCUGGUGCUGUGGGCCCAUGCCAGGGCCCAGGCCCAGGGGUUCUGCAGAGACCACCAGGAUCCCAGCAGGACAAUAGGAAAUCUCAGCAGAGGCAUUCCAGAACACGGAAAAGCCAGUUCCUGAUGAAUCCAGAGGAUGUUCAAAGCUCACCAGGCCAAUGAACCCCGACGGAUUCCCCAGUGGGCCCUCUCUCCUUUCCGUAGAUCUUCUAGGAGUUUUACCAUUUAAAGAGAACUGCAGGAGGCCAUCUUAACCAGACUGAGCUGUAACGCUCACUGCGAAGAUCUGCAGCUUCACUCCUGAGCCCAGCGAGACCGUGAACCCACCGGGAGGAACGAACAACUC
rnacentral:lncRNA from 1 species